GCAGCGAUGUCCGAGUGGUUAAGGAGUUGGACUUGAAAUCCAAUGGGCAUUGCCCGCGUAGGUU
rnacentral:tRNA from 1 species